rnacentral:rRNA from 1 species
CCUAAACAAAACUAUCCGCCAGAGAACUACUAGCAACAGCUUAAAACUCAAAGGACUUGGCGGUGCUUUACAUCCCUCUAGAGGAGCCUGUUCUAUAAUCGAUAAACCCCGAUAUACCUCACCAUCUCUUGCUAAUUCAGCCUAUAUACCGCCAUCUUCAGCAAACCCUAAAAAGGAAGAAAAGUAAGCACAAGUAUCUUAACACAAAAAAGUUAGGUCAAGGUGUAGCUCAUGAGAUGGGAAGUAAUGGGCUACAUUUUCUAAAAUUAGAACACCCACGAAAAUCCUUAUGAAACUAAGUAUUAAAGGAGGAUUUAGUAGUAAAUUUGAGAAUAGAGAGCUCAAUUGAAUCGGGCCAUGAAGCACGCACACACCGCCCGUC